UACAGAGGCCUCGAGCGUUAGGCGGAAUCACUGGGCUUAAAGCGUGUGUAGGCGGACUUCUAAGUACCUUGUGAAAUCCCACGGCUCACCCGUGGAACUGCUUGGUAUACUGGUUGUCUUGAGCCUUCUAGGGGCGAGUGGAACAAAUGGUGGAGCGGUGAAAUGCGUAGAUAUGUGGAGGAACACCGAUGGCGAAGGCAGCCCCCUGGGUCAAGAUUGACGCUCAUGCACGAAAGCGUGGGGAGCAAACAGG
rnacentral:rRNA from 1 species